rnacentral:pre_miRNA from 1 species
AGAGAGCUUUCUUCAGUCCACUCAUGGGUGGCAAUAAGGAUUUAAUUAGCUGCCGACUCAUUCAUCCAAAUACUGUGUGUAGUAUAUUUAAUCAGCAUGGUAAAUGAGUGAAUGAUGCGGGAGACAAAUUGAAUCUUAAGCUUCCUGUACUUGGACUGAAGGGAGCUCCCU